rnacentral:rRNA from 1 species
CAGCCGCCGCGGUAAUACGAAGGGGGCUAGCGUUGUUCGGAAUUACUGGGCGUAAAGGGCGCGUAGGCGGCCAUUCAAGUUAGAUGUGAAAGCCCUGGGCUCAACCUAGGAAUUGCAUUUGAUACUGUUUGGCUUGAGUUCGGGAGAGGUGAGUGGAAUUCCCAGUGUAGAGGUGAAAUUCGUAGAUAUUGGGAAGAACACCAGAGGCGAAGGCGGCUCACUGGACCGACACCGACGCUGAGGCGCGAAAGCGUGGGGAGCAAACAGGAUUAGAUACCCCCGUAGUCCCUGUCUCUUAUAC